GCCUUCAAUUCUUGGCCAAACCACUUCAAAAUGAUCCUUGGGUCACAUGAACUCAUUGUACCAACCCUAGGGUUUUGAUCUCAUGGAAAAAUGCACUUGUUGCCUUGCACAGUUGAAUUUCCCGACUAGCCUUCAAUUCUUGGCCAAACCACUUCAAAAUGAUCCUUGGGUCACAUGAACUCAUUGUACCAACCCUAGGGUUUUGAUCUCAUGGAAAAAUGCACUUGUUGCCUUGCACAGUUGAA
rnacentral:lncRNA from 1 species